GUUAAUGUAGCUUAAUACAAAACGAAAGCACUAAAAAUUUUAGAUGGGAUUAUUUUUCCUACAAAAC
rnacentral:tRNA from 1 species